CACGUAGGUGGCAUGAUAAGUCAAAGGUGAAAGCCCUCGGCUCAACCGAGGAACUGCCUUUGAAACUGUUUUGCUUGAGUCCGGGAGGGGGGAGCGGAAUUCCUAGUGUAGCGGUGAAAUGCGUAGAUACUAGGAGGAACACCGGUGGCGAAGGCGGCUCCCUGGACCGGUACUGACACUGAGGUGCGAAAGCGUGGGUAGCAAACAGGAUUAGAUACCCUGGUAGUCC
rnacentral:rRNA from 1 species